UAAAUGGCGACUGAAUAUUUAUUAAUGGAAAAUAUUAGAAGAUAUAGAUAUUUAUGAAAAUCAGGUUCAGGUGCUAAUAUUUUGAAUAGCAAGCAACUCAAAUUUAUUGAGGAUUAUUAUUGGCUAAAAGAAAAUGUUGAAGAUAUUUGUAAUAAUGCAGAGGCAAGUUUUAGUUUGGAUCAAAUAUCUUCACAUGAUUAUGAACAAAAUAUCCAAGAUGUGGUGAAUGUACAAACAUCAUCACAGGAUUAUGAACAAAAUAUCCAAGAUGUGGUGAAUGUACAAACAUCAUCACAGGAUUACGAGUUAAAUACACAUGAUCUUUUAACUGAUAUUGUUAAUCCUACUGAUAUAUAUGAGAAAGAAAUUUUAGAGUUAGACAAUUCUUUUAAUAAAGAAAAUAUUAAUCCAUGUAGCUCAAAGAGGAAGAAUUUAGAUACUCCUAAAGCUAAAAAAUCUAAGAAGUAUGAAGAUGAAAAAAUGGAGAUAUUUAGGGGUUUUGCUGCCAAACAUACAUCCCAAGGAGAUUAUCCUCAUAAUAUUAUGGGUUUUUUCAAAUCAUAUCAAGCUCAAUUCAAUAUUAUGACUGAUAAAGAAAUUUUUGAUUUUAAAUUAAAAUUUAUAACAAUGUUGGUUU